UACGUAGGUGGCAAGCGUUGUCCGGAUUUACUGGGCGUAAAGAGCGCGCAGGCGGUCGUUCAAGUCGCGUGUGAAAGCCCCCGGCUCAACUGGGGAGGGUCACGCGAUACUGAUCGACUCGAAGGCAGGAGAGGGUAGUGGAAUUCCCGGUGUAGUGGUGAAAUGCGUAGAUAUCGGGAGGAACACCAGUGGCGAAGGCGACUUCCUGGCCUGUUCUUGACGCUGAGGCGCGAAAGCUAGGGGAGCAAACGGGGAUUAAGAU
rnacentral:rRNA from 1 species